rnacentral:rRNA from 1 species
UCAAGCUAAUAAGAGCGCAGGGUGGAUGCCUUGGCACUAAGAGCCGAUGAAAGACGUGAUAAGCUGCGAAAAGCUUCGGGGAGGAGCAAAUAUCCUUUGAUCCGGAGAUCUCUGAAUGGGGAAACCUACUUGAGUGUACCUCAAGUGACGUAUGGUGAAUCCAUAGCCAUACGCCGGGAACCCGGUGAACUGAAACAUCUAAGUAGCCGGAGGAAGAGAAAGAAACAUCGAUUCCGGAAGUAGCGGCGAGCGAACCCGGAAGAGCCCAAACCAGCGUGCGUGCAUGCUGGGGUUAAGGACUGCAUAAGUGAGCCGAUCUGUUAAUGGAACUGCCUGGGAAGGCAGGCCAGAGAGGGUGAAAGCCCCGUACAUGAAAACGGUAGGCAGCGGCAGGAUCCAGAGUACCGCGAGACACGAGAAACCUUGCGGGAAGUCGGAGGGACCACCCUCCAAGGCUAAAUACUCCUUAGUGACCGAUAGCGCAUAGUACUGUGAAGGAAAGGUGAAAAGGACCCCGGGAGGGGAGUGAAAGAGAACCUGAAACCCUGUGUUUACAAGCUGUGGGAGCACGUUAAGGUGCAACCGCGUACUUUUUGUAGAACGGUCCGGCGAGUUGCCGGUGCUGGCAAGGUUAAAUGGUACAGCCAUGGAGCCGAAGGGAAACCAAGUCUCAAAUGGGCGUAAAGUCAGCACAGGCAGACCCGAAACCGGGUGACCUAUCCAUGUCCAGGAUGAAGCGGAAGUAAAAUUCCGUGGAGGUCCGGAUCCACAUCCGUUGAAAAGGGUGGGAAUGAGGUGUGGAUAGGGGAGAAAUUCCAAUCGAACCCGGAGAUAGCUGGUUCUCCUCGAAAUAGCUUUAGGGCUAGCCUCGUAUUAGUUUAGCGGAGGUAGAGCACUGAAUUCCUAAGGGGGCGUCAAAGCUUACCAAGGGAUAUCAAACUCCGAAUGCCGCAUAAAUGAUGUACGGGAGUCAGACUGCACGAGAUAAGUUGGGCAGUCAAAAGGGAAAGAGCCCAGACCUGCUGCUAAGGUCCCAAAGUACGUGUUAAGUGGAAAAGGAUGUGGGAUUUCGAAGACAACUAGGAUGUUGGCUCAGAAGCAGCCACACAUUCAAAGAGUGCGUAAUAGCUCACUAGUCGAGAGGUCCUGCGCCGAAAAUGUCCGGGGCUAAAACACAACACCGAAGCUUAGGAAUGUAGAAAUACAUUGGUAGAGGAGCAUUCUUAAAGGAAUGAAGCAGUACCGGUAAGGAGCUGUGGACUUUUAAGAAGAGAGAAUGCCGGAAUGAGUAGCGAGAUGGAGGUGGGAAUCCUCCAGGCCGAAUAUCCAAGGUUUCCAGAGUAAAGCUGAUCUGCUCUGGGUAAGUCGGGGCCUAAGGCGAGGCUGAAAAGCGUAGCCGAUGGACAACAGGUUGAGAUUCCUGUACCGCGUAUCAUCAGAACUGUGGGGACACAGAAGGACAGCACAUCCCGGGAAUGGAAAGACCGGGGCAAGCAGGGUAGGAGUUAAGCUGGCAAAUCCGCUUAACAAUCCGAAGCUGUGAUGCGGAGCGAAUUUAAGUAGCGAAGUGUGCGAUUCCAGCUGUCAAGAAAAGCCGCUAUUGUGUGAUACGUGCCCGUACCGUAAACCGACACAGGUAGAUGAGGAGAGAAUCCUAAGGCCGGCGGGAGAAGCAUUGUUAAGGAACUCGGCAAAAUGACCCUGUAACUUCGGGAGAAAGGGUGCCUGGGAAACCAGGCCGCAGAGAAUAGGCUCAAGCAACUGUUUAGCAAAAACACAGGUCUAUGCAAAACCGUAAGGUGAGGUAUAUGGGCUGACGCCUGCCCGGUGCUGGAAGGUUAAGAGGAGGGGUUAGCGCAAGCGAAGCUCUGAAUUGAAGCCCCAGUAAACGGCGGCCGUAACUAUAACGGUCCUAAGGUAGCGAAAUUCCUUGUCGGGUAAGUUCCGACCCGCACGAAAGGCGUAAUGAUUUGAGCGCUGUCUCGACAAUGCACCCGGUGAAAUUGAAAUACCAGUGAAGAUGCUGGUUACCCGCGCCAGGACGGAAAGACCCCAUGGAGCUUUACUCCA